AACAGGGUGACACCCACAGAUUGGGAAC
rnacentral:piRNA from 1 species